AUUGAACGCUGGCGGAAUGCUUUACACAUGCAAGUCGAACGGCAGCACGGACUUCGGUCUGGUGGCGAGUGGCGAACGGGUGAGUAAUGUAUCGGAACGUGCCCAGUCGUGGGGGAUAACGUAGUGAAAAUUACGCUAAUACCGCAUACGAUCUAUGGAUGAAAGCGGGGGAUCGCAAGACCUCGCGCGAUUGGAGCGGCCGAUAUCAGAUUAGGUAGUUGGGGGGGUAAAGGCCCACUAAGCCAACGAUCUGUAGCUGGUCUGAGAGGACGACCAGCCACACUGGAACUGAGACACGGUCCAGACUCCUACGGGAGGCAGCAGUGUGGAAGUUUGGACAAUGGGCGAAAGCCUGAUCCAGCCAUUCCGCGUGCAGGAUGAAGGCCCUCGGGUUGUAAACCGCUUUUAUACAGAACGAAAAGGUUUCUACUAAUACUAGGAGCUCAUGACGGUACUGUAAGAAUAAGCACCGGCUAACUACGUGCCAGCAGCCGCCGCGG
rnacentral:rRNA from 1 species